GUUGUUACUUUUGUUGUUAAGUAUGGAAGUUAAAACACAGAUGAGAGCAUGUUGUUUCAGUAGCAGAGCUAAAGCUGGUAGGGGCGACUUGCCCAGUUUCCCAUUUUGUGCAUUUUUGCUCUUUCCAAAGCUGCGAUAAAAUUAUAACUGAAAGUGAUUAAGGCAAUUUAAAAUGUAAUUGACUUAUCUAUGUUUAACAUUUAAGCAAGGAAUGGAGAAACAUGGGACCUAAUGUUCAUUGUUUGCUCUUUUUACAUUGAUUAAUGCAGCACAUAAAGGUCUCUUAAGCUAUUAGCAAAAAAUAUAUACGUAAGCAUAUUUCUCUAGCUACCAAGUUUUCAUGAGUCUAAGAGAUAGCAAGUCCUUGAAUAUUACUUUAACUUACUUGAGUCACCAAUAGUAUUCACCCUUGGACAGGUUAUCUCUACUGGGUUUGCCAAGGAUCAAAAAAAAAACUUUUCCGGUACAGAUGGUAACAAAGUAUAACCAUCUCCUCCAUAGUUAAAUAUAUUAAACUUUACUAUGGAGGUACUCUGUAUGUAAUUAUGAAUUUGUUUAUGAUCAAUUCUUUGUGUAAUUCAAUUCAGUAAAUGUUUAAAAGGGCAUACUUUCAUUAAAUCUUGAGGCCGUAAAGCAUAUUGAGGAAGAGUAUAGGCUUCCAAUCUGAACCGCUGGAUUCAAGUCCUGUUUUCCACUGUGUAGUCUUAGCAUCUUUAUCUCUCCAUGCCUGUUAUAUCUGUAAGUUGGGGAGAAUAAUACUACAUCCAUCCGAGGUUUGUGAUGAGAGCUAAAUGAGUUAAUACACAAAGGAUUUAGAAUAGUGACUGGUUCUCGCACAGUUACCUUUUUAAUGUUAAAUGUUAAAUUAUUGCUGUGUGCCUGGCACUUUGGUAGGUGAUGGAGUGGUGAGACAAUAGACAUGAUCUCUGCCCCUAGAGGCUUACAUGCAAGCAGGAAAGACAGGCGUGAAAUAGCUCCUUUGCAGCUGUAAUUCUGCUCUUGAAAUAAGUUCAACCAGUGAGUUACACUCACAUGCUAUUUGAAAGUUGGAAGUGAAUCAGAGGCCAGCUCUCUGCCUCUUCUGGCUGUUUUUCUGCUGAGGCAAGAGUGCAGAGAUGCGGGGCUUUCUGCAGCAGCAUUCCAACACCCGGUGACUCGUUUCCUGGAUAUCAAGAGGCAGGGAGUUGUUGCCAGUCAGCAGAAGCAGUGGCUCCUUCUCAAGUCCAGCUUCCUGACCCCUGGGUCCGAGAGGUUAUAUAGCUCGGGAUAACUUGGAUCACAAAUUUAUCUGAAGAAAAUAGAGCUCCAAAAAUUGAACUGUUACCACUGGAGACUCAACGGCACCAUCUGACAAGUUAUUUCCAAAAGGAGCCUCUUUAGACAUCCUGUUGACCUUGAUGCUAGCACUGUCACAUAAGAUUGGACUAUGAUUUCAUCAGCAUAUUAAGGCCAGGUCAUGAGAACUUGUGGAAGAAGUUCAUUGAGCUGCUUCUUCAGAUGGAGGACUUUCUCUGGAAUUAAAAGGCUCUGAGAAAUUUAAUUUAUCAUAGCCUCCGUGGUUCACAAGAUUUCACUUUCUUACAGAUGUGAUAAAAAUACUCAAACCCUCAAAGAAACACACAUAUUGCCUACUUUUUUCACAUUCUAUUUGUCUCCUCUCAGCUCAUUUAAAUGACUGAUCUGCCAAUUCAAG
rnacentral:lncRNA from 1 species